UACAGAGGCCUCGAGCGUUAGGCGGAAUCACUGGGCUUAAAGCGUGUGUAGGCGGAUUGCUAAGUACCUUGUGAAAUCCCACGGCUUAACCGUGGAACUGCUUGGUAUACUGGCUGUCUUGAGCCACUUAGGGGCGACCGGAACAAACGGUGGAGCGGUGAAAUGCGUAGAUAUCGUUUGGAACGCCAAAGGUGAAAACAGGUCGCUGGGAGUGUGCUGACGCUGAGACACGAAAGCCAGGGGAGCAAACGGG
rnacentral:rRNA from 1 species